rnacentral:tRNA from 1 species
AGAAAUAUGUAGAUACAAGAAAAAGCUGCUAACUUUAUUCUUUAGUGGUUUAAUUCCAUUAAUAUUUCU